GAAGAUUUGACUUUAGACUCAGAUUACUCAGGACGGGUGGAGCAGAUCAUUGGUAAAUAUGAAGCAGAACUCACAAUAUCAGACGUGAGAGAGAGAGACUCUGGAGAAUAUCAGCUCAUGUUCGUGGAGAAUGUUGUUAAACAUCUCAGCUCAGCGGCCGUCAGUCUAACAGUCACAGACCUGCAGGUGAGGAUGAAUCCUGCAUCUACAGACCAGAGAGAUCAGAAAGUAAAACUGACCUGUGAGACUUCCUGUGAUUUGACGUCCAGACCUCAGAAUUACUACUGGAAAAAAAAAGGACAAUAUGUAGAAGAUCUUGGUCAUUCCAGGAGCAUUGAAGUUUCACCGGAGGCUGCUGACAGUUACUCAUGUUUUUCUUAUUGAAGAUCUUAAGAACUCCUCCUCUCCUGUGUGCAUUUCUAAGAGUGGCUGCUGGGAUGUGACUUACACAUCUAGAAGAGUCUGUGCUUUGGUCGGCUCAACAGUAGACAUUUCCUGCACAUAUUCACUUCCCUCUGGUUAUACUGUAUAUAAAA